GUCUUAUUGAUUAUAAUCUUAAGUCUAAUCUGCCCAAUGAAUUAUUAAAUGGCUGCAGUAUUUUAACUGUACAAAGGUAGCAUAAUAAUUAGUUUCUUAAUUAGGAACUGGAAUGAAUGAUUGGACGAGAUAACAACUGUCUUAGUUUAAAUUUUAGAAUUUUAUUUUUAAGUUAAAAAGCUUAAAUUUUUUUAAAAGACGAGAAGACCCUAUAGAAUUUUAUAUUCUUUAGAUAUUAAAUUAUUAGUAAUUUAAUAUAUAAUUUUUUAAAAAAUAUUUAGUUGGGGUGAUUGAAAAAUUUAAUAAACUUUUUUUUAUGUUAACAUUAAUAUAUGAUUAUAUGAUCCAAUUUUUUUGAUUAUAAGAUUAAAUUACCUUAGGGAUAACAGCGUAAUUUUUUUAGAGAGUUCUAAUCGAUAAAAGAGAUUGCGACCUCGAUGUUGGAUUAAAGUUUAUUUUUAAUGUAGGAGUUAAAAUAUUAGGUCUGUUCGACCUUUAAAACUUUACAUGAUCUGAGUUUAAACCGGUGUGAGCCAGGUUGGAUUCUAUCUUUAAUAAGAUUAAGUAUUUUAGUACGAAAGGACCAAGUAUUUGCUAUAAUAGUUUUAUAAGAAUAUUAAUAUUAUUUUGGCAGAUUAGUGCUUUAAAUUUAGAAUUUAAAUAUGUGUUUUUUAUACAAAUAAUAC
rnacentral:misc_RNA from 1 species